rnacentral:rRNA from 1 species
GACGAACGCUGGCGGCGUGCUAAUACAUGCAAGUGGGACGCAAAGGGAACACAUCUGUGCUUGCACACCGUGUUUUCUUGAGUCGCGAACGGGUGAGUAACGCGUAGGUAACCUGCCUAUUAGCGGGGGAUAACUAUUGGAAACGAUAGCUAAUACCGCAUAAUAUUAAUUAUUGCAUGAUAAUUGAUUGAAAGAUGCAAGCGCAUCACUAGUAGAUGGACCUGCGUUGUAUUAGCUAGUUGGUAAGGUAAGAGCUUACCAAGGCGACGAUACAUAGCCGACCUGAGAGGGUGAUCGGCCACACUGGGACUGAGACACGGCCCAGACUCCUACGGGAGGCAGCAGUAGGGAAUCUUCGGCAAUGGACGAAAGUCUGACCGAGCAACGCCGCGUGAGUGAAGAAGGUUUUCGGAUCGUAAAGCUCUGUUGUAAGUCAA